UUAAAAGCAUAUUUUUGAAAAACGUACAGUGCACGAUUGGAGAAAGAUACCAUCCAGGAUCGGAAGGAACGAAAAGAAGCCAGCUAGAAGAAUAAGAGAAAAUACGUAAGACGAUUGUUGUCAAUAAUAUAGGCAGUCGACUUUCGCGAUAAUAACUCGAUAAUCUCGAUAUUUUUUGAAAUAAAAUCCAAGGCGAACCAACCGUCAAUACGCGACAAUUCGAAUGAGUCA